rnacentral:rRNA from 1 species
UACGAAGGGGGCUAGCGUUGCUCGGAAUGACUGGGCGUAAAAGGGCGCGUAGGCGGCACACACAGUCAGGCGUGAAAUUCCUGGGCUUAACCUGGGGGCUGCGUUUGAGACGUGUGAGCUAGAGGAUGGGAAGAGGCUCGUGGAAUUCCCAGUGUAGAGGUGAAAAUUCGUAGAUAUCGAGAAGAACACCGGUGGCGAAGGCGGCCAUCUGGACAGAUACUGACGCUGAGACGCGAAAGCGUGGGGAGCAAACAGG